UCCAUCUUUGGUUGCAGUUUUGGACAGAAU
rnacentral:piRNA from 1 species